rnacentral:rRNA from 1 species
AGAGUUUGAUCCUGGCUCAGAUUGAACGCUGGCGGCAGGCCUAACACAUGCAAGUCGAGCGGAAACGAGUUAUCUGAACCUUCGGGGGACGAUAACGGCGUCGAGCGGCGGACGGGUGAGUAAUGCCUAGGAAAUUGCCCUGAUGUGGGGGAUAACCAUUGGAAACGAUGGCUAAUACCGCAUGAUGCCUACGGGCCAAAGAGGGGGACCUUCGGGCCUCUCGCGUCGGGAUAUGCCUAGGUGGGAUUAGCUAGUUGGUGAGGUAAGGGCUCACCAAGGCGACGAUCCCUAGCUGGUCUGAGAGGAUGAUCAGCCACACUGGAACUGAGACACGGUCCAGACUCCUACGGGAGGCAGCAGUGGGGAAUAUUGCACAAUGGGCGCAAGCCUGAUGCAGCCAUGCCGCGUGUGUGAAGAAGGCCUUCGGGUUGUAAAGCACUUUCAGUCGUGAGGAAGGUGGUAGUGUUAAUAGCACUAUCAUUUGACGUUAGCGACAGAAGAAGCACCGGCUAACUCCGUGCCAGCAGCCGCGGUAAUACGGAGGGUGCGAGCGUUAAUCGGAAUUACUGGGCGUAAAGCGCAUGCAGGUGGUUUGUUAAGUCAGAUGUGAAAGCCCGGGGCUCAACCUCGGAAUAGCAUUUGAAACUGGCAGACUAGAGUACUGUAGAGGGGGGUAGAAUUUCAGGUGUAGCGGUGAAAUGCGUAGAGAUCUGAAGGAAUACCGGUGGCGAA